GGGGAUGACUGGCUUCGACGGGGAAGGCUGGUCCUGGACCGCAAGCCGAGCACGCUUUACAACUCGUAAAACUGGAAGCAAACAAUAAGUGCAAAUACACGCACAAACUACAGCGCUAUGCCCUUGGCUGCGUAAUAACAGCUAAAACAUAGCGUGCGGCUUCCCUAACCGGAAGCUCCGUCUACCUCAUUCGCUCGUUGUCCUGGUGAGUGUUAGGCGACAUGAACGCCAACGUGCUGCAUCUCGAUGCUGCUAGAGAUGCUUAAGCGACUCUUUCGGGAGUCAGCAGCGGGCUGAUAGCUGACCCAGUUGGUCGGGGCGCCUAUUAGCUAACCACUAAAUAGACCAACUAAGCUUGUAGACGUUUAGCGGCCGAAUUUUUCGGACGCGGGUUCGAUUCCCGCCAUCUCCACUA
rnacentral:tmRNA from 1 species